GCGGCUGCGGAUGUAAACACAGCCUGGGGCGCCGCGGGACACGUGCGCCGCGCGCCAGCCGCCGGAGCCCGGGAGCCCGGGGCCGCCUCUGCCCCGCCUCGGUGGCCACGCUCCGGGAUGGCGUCUGCAGCCGAGAACUUUUAGGCAAGGAAGUAUUGAAGCAACUUUGGAGUACAUCCUCUUUGAUCGGAUGUGAGAGAGGAGAUAAACUCCUCACGUCUCUCAGGAUCAGCCCUUCAAGUGCACGUUGGUUCCAGCUUAAAGAACUGCAGAAUCCGGGGCCGGCGCUGUGGUGGAGCGGGUAAAGCCGCCGCCUAUGGUGCCGGCAUUUCAUGUGGUCUCCGAUUCAAGUCCUGGCUGCUCCACUUCCAAUCCAGCUCUCUGCUGUGGCCUGGGAAAGCAGUAGAAGAUGGCCCAAGUGCUUGGGCCGCUGCACCCACGUGGGUGACCCGGAGGAAGCUCCUGGCUUCGGAUCGGCUCAGCUCAGGCUGUUGUGGCCAUCUGGGGAGUGAACCAGCGGAUGGAAGACCUCCCUCCCGCCCCGCCUCUCCUCUCUCUAACUUUCAAAUAAAUAAAUAAAUCUUAAAAAAAAAAAAAAAAAAGAACUGCAGAAUUGGAGCUGGUGUAGUGGCGCAGUGGGUUAAGCUGCUGCCUGCAGUGCUGGACCUCAGAACACCUGCUGCUCAGUUCCAGUCCUCCCUGCUAAUCUGUCUGGGAAAGCAGUGGAAGAUGGCCCAAGUACUUGGACCCCUGCCACCCUGGUGGGAGACCUGGGUGGAGUCCCUGUCUCCUGGCCUUGGUCUGGCCCAGUCCUGGCCCAGCUGUGACUGCUGCAGCCAUCUGGGGAGUAAACUAGUGGAUGAAAGAUCUUUCUCUCUCUGUGCAACCCUGCCUUUCAAAUAAACAAAUCUGUUUUAAGAACUAGAAAAUAAAUUAUCACUCCACUAGAUGUGCCAGCAUAAUAAUUUCAAUAAAAGCAUUUAAAAAUG